rnacentral:rRNA from 1 species
UACGUAGGGUGCGAGCGUUAAUCGGAAUUACUGGGCGUAAAGCGUGCGCAGGCGGUUUGCUAAGACCGAUGUGAAAUCCCCGGGCUUAACCUGGGAACUGCAUUGGUGACUGGCAGGCUAGAGUAUGGCAGAGGGGGGGUAGAAUUCCACGUGUAGCAGUGAAAUGCGUAGAGAUGUGGAGGAAUACCGAUGGCGAAGGCAGCCCCCUGGGCCAACACUGACGCUCAGGCACGAAAGGCGUGGGGAGCAAACAGG